AUACGUAGGUGGCGAGCGUUGUCCGGAAUUACUGGGUGUAAAGGGCGCGUAGGCGGGGAUGCAAGUCAGAUGUGAAAUUCCGGGGCUUAACCCCGGCGCUGCAUCUGAAACUGUAUCUCUUAAGUGCUGGAGAGGAAAGCGGAAUUCCUAGUGUAGCGGUGAAAUGCGUAGAUAUUAGGAGGAACACCAGUGGCGAAGGCGGCUUUCUGGACAGUAACUGACGCUGAGGCGCGAAAGCGUGGGGAGCAAACAGGAUUAGAUACCCUGGUAGUCCACGCCGUAAACGAUGGAUACUAGGUGUAGGAGGUAUCGACCCCUGCUGUGCCGGAGUUAACACAAUAAGUAUCCCACCUGGGGAGUACGGCCGCAAGGUUGAA
rnacentral:rRNA from 1 species